rnacentral:lncRNA from 1 species
GGCUGGCCAGUCUACAGCUCGAGGCAGGCUGGCCAGUCUACAGCUCGAGGCAGGCUGGCCAGUCUACAGCUAGAGGCAGGCUGGCCAGACUACAGCUAGAGGCAGGCUGGCCAGACUACAGCUAGAGGUGGGGGGGGGGGGGGCAGUCUUCAACUGGUGUUAAAUGUGGCCCAUUCACGUGUUUUCGGCAAGAGGGAAAGACACUAGGAGGAAAUCAAAAGGAAAGGGGAACAAUUACAUGGACCGCUCUGUGCUAGGCAUUAUCCCUAAAUUGCCUGUCAAAUGGCAAUAGGUCAAGAACUAAAAUGUGAGACUUUACAUUACUGUACUACACAGAGGAGCAAUUUAAGACAACAGCGUGAACACGUUGCUCAGUGUUCCUUCAUCGCUUCUCUUUGUAUUUUUGGACAAGGUGUUCCAGAUCCACACCAUAUUCAAGCUUUCCUUAAUUGCUUGCUUCACAGCGUAGUGAAGGCAGCCAGCAGCAGAAAGAAGGAGCAAGGGGAACGAAUGGAACAGAUCCCCGGAGUAGAGCCCAUCAUUUGGAAUUGAAAAGAGAGCACGGUUCAUCAGCGGGUCAGCAUGUCAAUGGAAAGCUGUGCCUGGUUCUCUGCGGGAAACCUUUUCUUUAGAAAGAUCUAAAGAGUGUCGACUUGUUCUUCUUAGAACAAGUCCAGUUUCCAGAUAUGGUCCUUUUUUUAUCUCUGGCCAGGUAGUAAAACUAUGUUGGACGUGCGAGCCAGUGCUUAUUCUGUAAAGGAAUGAGAAAAAGAACGAUGAAACAUUUUUUUUUUAAAGGGACAAUUAAAGAAUUGGCAGGACCUCACAAAAUCACUCUCCUGUAAAACGGUCAUAACAAAACAAAAAAAAAAAACUGUGAGGGAUCGCAGACGGACGGGGUUGCCAACUAACACAAACAGUUAAAAUGCAAUUUCAAAAACAUUGAAAUGCAAUGAACACUGUAAAAGGGCUGGCAGUAUACUCCAAGCACUCCGGGGAAAUAAAUUAAUUUACAGAAUUUCAGCGAUUGGCUCAUUUUAGCAACUAUUAAAGUGGAAAAUGUGAGCAGUUAUCAUAACCGCACACUUGGUGACUGCUAGUCUUGUCAGCACUCAAACAGCCUGGCCCUCAAAGAGACGAGGCCUUAAAAUGACUCCUUUUCGGUGGUAACCAUCAACCAGCCAAGUUACCAUCCCCUUUAUCAAACCCAUUUUCCAUCCAAAGUGUCAAGGCUAAAGCAGUCACUGAGAGACAACGAUAUUGACGAGCACUGAAAUUGUAAUGGAGAAACAACAUGAUAAAAAAAGACCACAUUACUCCUAUUAGGGAUUUUCAUUACCGUUUCUCAAACGGUUUGGCAAACACCUGCCUUGGCCCUGUGCUGCAAAGCACUGUGUGAGGGUCAUUAAAAAGUAACAGACUACACAACUACACUUCCCAUCACGCACCUCUGACUCAUCUACCUGGUUCACAAGAGUUAGAGUUGGGGACGUUUCUUCUUAAAUUUGGGAAGAAAAAUAAAAUCGAACAAUGACUUCUUUUACAUUAGCACAAUUUAACUCUUCAAAUAGAACAUUCAUUUAGUCUCCUGUUGGAAAAUAGAUCAUGUGGUUGUUGCAAGAGAAAAAGCACUGCAUUCUGCAGACCCAAUGAUGGCAUGACCCGUGUAGAGGUUUACAAGAUAAGAAUGGAAAUAAAAUCUGUGUUAACUUUUCAGAAGUAUUACAAGACAUAAAAAAGGCAGGGAGGGGAGCGCUUACAACUUGGGAAAACCAUAGCAACUGCUGUGGAUUUGGACCACUCGAGGACAAUUCACGCAAAAAAAGCUUCAAGGACAGGACAGAUGUAGGAUUCCUCUCAGAUGGUACCCCAUUUCCCUAUACUGAGUGGACAAAUCAUUAGGAACACCUGCUCUUUCCAUGACAGAGAAUGACCAGGUGAAAGCUAUGAUCCCUUAUUGAUGUCAUCUGUUAAAUCCACUUCAAUCAGUGUAGAUGAAGGGGAGGAGACAGGUUAAAGAAGGAUUUUUAAGCCUUGAGACAUGGAUUGUCCAUGUGUGCCACAGUGGUGGCUGCUGAGGGGAGAACGGCUCAUAAUAACGGUCGGAAUGGAGCAAAUGGAAUGGCAUCAAAGACCUGGAGACCAUGUGUUUAAUGUAUUUGAUACCAUUCCACUGAUAGCGCUCCAGUCAUUACCACGAGCCUGUCCUCCCAAUUAAGAUGCCACCAACCUCCUGUGGUGUGCCAUUCAGAGGGUGAAUGGGCAAGAGAAAAGAUUGAAGUGCCUUUGAACAGGGUAUGGUAGUAGGUACCAGGUGCACUACUUUUGACCAGAGCCAUAUAGGAAUCUGGUGCCAUAGGCUUGGACAAGCCACAGAUCUGGAAAAUGGGAGGAUGAAGUGAACAAAGCAAGGAGGGGGGUGAGACUGCCAUAGACCUACUUGGCGAUCCUAAAGGAUAGCUGCCAUAGACCUACUUGGCGAUCCUAAAGGAUAGCUGCCAUAGACCUACUUGGCGAUCCUAAAGGAUAGCUGCCAUAGACCUACUUGGCGAUCCUAAAGGAUAGCUGCCAUAGACCUACUUGGCGAUCCUAAAGGAUAGCUGCCAUAGACCUACUUGGCGAUCCUAAAGGAU